rnacentral:piRNA from 1 species
UGCAGUGCUAAUGUAUUGGUAGGCCAAAUU